CUGUCUAACCUUCCUGCCUCCUCUGAAGGGACAACUUGGCAAUUUCGGAGCGAUUGCCUGUUUCCCACAGAAAGCAACCAUCUGUGUUCAGGAACCAAGGCACAUCACUGCCACCUUUUCAGCUGUCAGGGUCUGAAGAAGCAGAACAACUUCACUAUUCGGAAGCUCUUUCACAUUUACCACCACCUAACUCUUUUGUUGACCCUAUGUUUGAACUUCCACAGCUGGAAGAUAUAAAACCUGAGGAGCAUAUCCCAGUCUCAAGGCUUCCAGGUUUAAAGUCUGAGAAGCUGAUCUCAGAACCACAGCCAGAAGAUAUGACAUCUGUGGAGCUACCCCCAAGGACACAUUUGGGAGGCACCAAAUCAAGCUGUAAAGCCAAUGGAAGUCAUGGAAACACUGCAUGUAACUCCUAAACCACAAAUCAAAUAACCGAAUCAGUGGAAGUGACCCCCCAAGAUUCAGCAAGAAGCUGUAGAACCAAACAGGAUGGCCUGAAGACUAAAUAAAGUCAUAGAUAAUGUGAAGAUAA